ensembl:miRNA
UUUGGGGCCUCCUGCCACCAUACGUGAGGUUCAUUGGGUUCCAUAGAGCUGCAUGGGUUACAUCUCUGGACGUCACGUGUGAGGGCAGAUGCUCAGUGCACAGAAGAGU